rnacentral:rRNA from 1 species
UACAGAGGUCUCAACCGUUGUUCGGAUUCAUUGGGCGUAAAGGGUGCGUAGGUGGCGCGCUAAGUCAGGUGUGAAAUUUCGGAGCUUAACUCCGAAACUGCAUUUGAUACUGGCGUGCUUGAGGACUGGAGAGGAGACUGGAAUUCAUGGUGUAGCAGUGAAAUGCGUAGAGAUCAUGAGGAAGACCAGUGGCGAAGGCGGGUCUCUGGACAGUUCCUGACACUGAGGCACGAAGGCCAGGGGAGCAAACGGG